UGGAAGACCAAUGCUGUAUAAACAAAAGAAGCCUAUGGGAGUAAUAGAAAAUGUGAAACAUGAAAGUUGUGCCUUUAUUUAAAAUAAUCACACUUGUUAUAAAUACUGUUCUUUACCAUUAUAUGUUGUUCUUAGAAACUUACAAGGAUUCCACUUUAAAACUAAAUUUUGGCUGUUGUUAUACUUUAUUUCAGAAGACUCUGAUAACAGAUACCAUGAGGAGCUGCAAGGCUAAGGCACGUGCUUUCUUCCUGCUCUGAAAUCCCCUAGCCGUCCAGCCUUCAGAGCAGCAUCAGGAAGACAAGACUUUCAUAAGAUCAGAUGCAUGAAUUCUUGGUGCUUCAAACUUGGAAGGGUGCUUAGACAUAUCAAGCAAGUGUUCCAUUCUACAAAUGAAAAAAUGAUGACUGAAGUAUUUUGGAGACUCCGUGGUGAUACUUGGAUUGGAAGGACAGAAACUCUGGAAUGCUGGGUAAUGUGUAUAAUUCUAUUUUGAAGAGGAAUUAGUUCAGCUGGUGAGAAAGGAAACUUCAUGGCCACGAAGUUCGUCACCAGGUGAAAGGGUCAGUUUUGCAUGAUUAUGAUCUGCUCUUCUGCUCAUGCCUAUGCCAGGUGUGUGUUACUAUCCUUCCGGGGUCUGAAACCAAACAGGGAAGUUCUGGCAAUGCAACACAUUCUCACCUUAUUAAAGCCCACGUAUUGACGGGCUAUGGCCAGCCCUGCUGCUGCACAGUUUUGCUAUCUGUACAGGCAGCCCCACAGAUGAGAACCCCAGCUGUCUCCCACUGUGGAACACGUGCCGCAGUUAGCAAAAGCUCCACGAGGCUCCAUGAAUCAUUCAUCCAGGUAUGGAGUGCUGUCCUGUCACUGUUGCCCUUCACUUGCAGAGGAGACAAAAUUGAGACUUUAAACGACAAAGUGAAAUCAGUUAGUUGCACUAGUCCAGGUGAAAAUGCAGCCCCCUCGCUCUGCUCACAGGUCCAAUUUUGUGGAGAACUUACGCAGGAAAUCAUAACUCUGUACAUUAAGAGUGGAAUAGCACUGUUAUACCUGGAAGACAGCCUGCCACACCUCUGUCUCCUGCUACUUAUCUCUUACAUUCUUCUAAGCCUUCUUAAAAGUUGAUAGGCUGCAAGAAGCAAGAAUUUCACUGGACAGGACUGGAUCUGGGGCCUGGAGAUACUGGAGAGCUGGACCAACCUACACAGACUGUGAGAACCAGUUUGUAAGUUCUCAGGAAUACUGUGAUCCAUAUUUUAAUAAAAUUGAUAUUAUUGAAUUAUGUUAACUUAAAAUACAAGAGUACUAAAUACUAAGAAUACAACAUAUCCUGAUUAUUCACCUA